UGUUUCCCCUCUCCCGGUCCGUGAGUGACAAGUGGCAUCCAACCGCGUCCACUUGUCACUCACGGACCGGGAGAGGAGAAACAGC